rnacentral:rRNA from 1 species
CCUACGGGUGGCUGCAGUGAGGAAUAUUGGUCAAUGGGCUUACGCCUGAACCAGCCAAGUCGCGUGAGGGAAGACUGCCCUAUGGGUUGUAAACCUCUUUUGUCAGGGAGCAACGCCGGCUACGUGUAGCCGGACUGAGAGUACCUGAAGAUAAAGCAUCGGCUAACUCCGUGCCAGCAGCCGCGGUAAUACGGAGGAUGCGAUCGUUAUCCGGAUUUUUUGGGUUUAAAGGGUGCGUAGGCGGAAUGCCAAGUCGGCGGUAAAAUCGCGGGGCUAAACCUCUUCUAGCCGUUGAAACUGGUUUUCUUGAGUGAGUGAGAGGUAUGCGGAAUGCGUGGUGUAGCGGUGAAAUGCAUAGAUAUCACGCAGAACUCCGAUUGCGAAGGCAGCAUACCGGCGCUCAACUGACGCUCAUGCACGAAAGUGUGGGUAUCGAACAGGAUUAGAUACCCCUGUAGUC